UCGAUUAGUUUGAUCAUGGCUCAGGACGAACGCUGGCGGCGUGCUUAACACAUGCAAGUCACGGGGGCUCGCAAGAGCAACCGGCGAACGGGUGCGUAACACGUGAGCAAUCCGCCGAUUUCUGGGGGAUAGCCGGCCCAACGGCCGGGUAAUACCGCAUACGUUCUCGAGGGGGAGUCCCCUUGGGAAGAAACUUCCGGGGGAAAUCGAGGAGCUCGCGGCCUAUCAGCUAGUUGGCGGUGUAAUGGACCACCAAGGCUAUGACGGGUAGCUGGUCUGAGAGGAUGGCCAGCCACAUUGGGACUGAGAGACGGCCCAGACUCCUACGGGAGGCAGCAGUGGGGAAUCUUGCGCAAUGGCCGAAAGGCUGACGCAGCGACGCCGCGUGUGGGAUGAAGCAUUUCGGUGUGUAAACCACUGUUGCCCGGGACGAACAGCUUCAUUCGAGGAGCCUGACGGUACCGGGUGAGGAAGCACCGGCUAACUCCGUGCCAGCAGCUGCGGUAAUACGGAGGGUGCGAGCGUUGUCCGGAAUCACUGGGCGUAAAGGGCGCGUAGGUGGCCUGUGGAAGUCUGCGGUGAAAGCCCGGCGCUCAACGCCGGGUCGGCCGUGGAUACUCUCGGGCUUGAGCUUACUAGGGGCAGAUGGAAUUCCGGGUG
rnacentral:rRNA from 1 species